rnacentral:rRNA from 1 species
CAACCUGCCCCAAGAGAUCGGGAUAACACCUGGAAACAGAUGCUAAUACCGGAUAACAACAGAUGAUGCCUAUCAACUGUUUAAAAGAUGGUUCUGCUAUCACUCUUGGAUGGACCUGCGGUGCAUUAGCUAGUUGGUAGGGUAACGGCCUACCAAGGCGAUGAUGCAUAGCCGAGUUGAGAGACUUAUCGGCCACAUUGGGACUGAGACACGGCCCAAACUCCUACGGGAGGCAGCAGUU